GACGAACGCUGGCGGCGUGCUUAACACAUGCAAGUCGAACGGAAAGGCCCUGCUUUUGUGGGGUGCUCGAGUGGCGAACGGGUGAGUAACACGUGAGUAACCUGCCCUUGACUUUGGGAUAACUUCAGGAAACUGGGGCUAAUACCGGAUAGGAGCUCCUGCUGCAUGGUGGGGGUUGGAAAGUUUCGGCGGUUGGGGAUGGACUCGCGGCUUAUCAGCUUGUUGGUGGGGUAGUGGCUUACCAAGGCUUUGACGGGUAGCCGGGCUGAGAGGGUGACCGGCCCCAUUGGGACUGAGAUACGGCCCAGACUCCUACGGGAGGGAGCAGUGGGGAAUAUUGCACAAUGGGCGGAAGCCUGAUGCAGCCACGCCGCGUGCGGGAUGACGGCCUUCGGGUUGUAAACCGCUUUCGCCUGUGACGAAGCGUGAGUGACGGUAAUGGGUAAAGAAGCACCGGCUAACUACGUG
rnacentral:rRNA from 1 species